rnacentral:tRNA from 1 species
GGCCAGUUAGCUCAAACAGUUGAGCAUGGCGCUAACAACGCCAAGGUCAUGGGUUCGAUUCCUGUUCAGUCCC